GCUGGGCAUGGUGGUAUGUGCCUGUAGUCCCAGCUACUCAGGAGGCUGAGGCAGGAGGAUUGCUUGAGCCUGGGAGGCUGAGGCUGCAGUGAGCUAUGAUCAGUACCACUGCACUCCAGCCCGGGCAACAGAGCGAGACCCUGUGUCAA
rnacentral:sRNA from 1 species